AUGUCACUCUCCCCUCCUAUUCUCAAGAAGGUGAACAGGAUCAUCCGAGAUUUUCUUUGGCAUGGCCGCAAAGACGCUCGCACGGGUUCUUGUCUCGUCAGUUGGGCGCGUGUCUGCCGCCCAAUCGAGCUCGGUGGCCUUGGGAUCUGCGAUCUUCACCGCACGAGCAUCUCUCUGUGCGUCAGAUGGCUCUGGCUGUCUGCUUAUGACAGUUCGCACCCUUGGUCCCAUCUUCAACCGCCAACGGACCCUGAGGCACUUCAAUUCUUCCGGUCCUCGACCUCUUGGAUCCUCGGUAAUGGCACUUCCUGUCGCUUCUGGACUGAUAAAUGGAUGCAAGGCCGCUCCAUCCAGGAGCUUGCCCUGGGCCUGGUGGCCUUGGUGCCGAACCGAUCGCGCCGCUCCCGCACAGUCGCGGCCGCCCUUCACGAUCGCGCCUGGAUCAGAGACAUCCAUGGCUCCACGGGCCCCGAGGCCAUGCUCCAGUAUGUGGAUGUAUGGCGUAGGCUACAGUCCAUCGAUCUUACCACGGAGCCUAACAUCAUCCGCUGGAAGUGGACGGAACAUGGCGAGUACUCUGCUGCCUCCUGCUACAAUGCUCUUUUCACUGGUUCCACAGUGUCCGAGCAUUGGCGCAUUGUUUGGAAGACCGGCGCCCCCCUCUCAGUCAAGUUCUUCACCUACCUUGCAUCCGUCAAUCACUGCUGGACGGCGGACCGGCUCUCUCGCCGCGGGCUCCCGCACGAACCGGCCUGUGUGUUGUGCUCGCAGUAG
rnacentral:rRNA from 1 species